CCUGUGGCUCAGAUGGUAAAGCGUCUGCCUGCAAUGCAGGAAACCCAGGUUCGAUCCCUGGGGCAGGA
rnacentral:tRNA from 1 species